CACACACACACACACUAUUAUUAUUAUUAUUAUUAUAUUUUUACCAACAGCGGCCCUAAUACGCCAGCAUAGUUUUUAUAUAUUUUCUUGUGUUGUGUUGCAGGUAACGCUCCAGCUGAAAAGCAGCUGGACUCCAACAGAAGUCUUUUAAGAUCAUCAUCAUUAUCAUUAUCAUCAGAUUGACACGGCUUGAAGAUAAGAACUCCAGAAAGAAAACUGGGACAUGAAGGAAGCUUUCCUGGUGGAAAUGGUUCACCAGAGGAAUCUCCAGGUUCAAGAAGAGAGAUGGAGCUGAAGAUUCACAGAGGGACAUAAAGUUCCUGGCAGAGAGAACCGGCUGGUGAUGACCGACUCUGUUCCUGGUUGAGUUUAAGACGGAUGAUUCAGCAGCCGUUAUAAAAACAUCAUGAUAAAACCUGGAGAGCCUGAAUGCAUCAUGUGCUCUGGUCUGGUUCCAGAGGAGGAAAGCUCUUCUUCUUCUUCUUCUGUUGUAUUUUAUUGCUCUUUAUUCUCUAAAACUACCAAAAUCAGGAUUAAAGUCAAGAUUUAAUGAAAAAUGCCUUUUUAUCCCAUUAAGGUCAUAUCCCUGUUAAUAUUGUGCACCUAUUUAACAAUAUGACAAAAAAUGUCUUUGUAUUUGGCAUAAAAAUGUAAUCAUAUUUAUUUUCCAGAUAAUUUCUUUAAAUUAUGGAUAAUACAUAAUAUAAAAUAUGCCUUAAUUUUACAUUCAGCAGUAUGGUUUAUUGUAUUUCUAUGUAGAAUUCAUGGUAAUUUAAAAUCAAUGACCAUUAAGUAAUUGAAUAAUCCUCUAAAAAAAGUUAUUUAUAUUAAUUUACUGAUUUCAACUUCCAUGUUAUGGUUUAUAUUUGUAAUAAAAGUAAUUUAAAUACAGCACUUUAAAUAAAUAAUAAAGUACAUUUCUGGAAAAUAACUUUCUGAAAACGCUCUAACUUCUUUAGACAUAUAUUUUUUUAAACUAAUCUAGUUCACUCUACAUGGACAGUUACAAUUUAAAUGUUUAUGAAAUAAGUGAAUGAAGGUAUAUUAUUUAUCAUUACACAACCUUUCUGUAUGACAUCAACUGUUGAUGUCAGUUCAGUUGUUGUUAAAUAUACAUUAACUUAAUUUUCCCAGCUUGGAACUUAAUUUUCCAAAUAUUCCAACAACAUGAAUGCAGAGUAAUAUAAAUAAAAAGUUUACUUUAGAGGCUUUUUUUCUGUUUAUGUUUACGCAGACAGUGAUAAAUUCUUGUUUGACUGCUGUUCAGACUUUUUGCAAAUAUGUUUUUCAUCAAACAUAAUUUAUUAUAAUGAAAUUUUUCAACAAAGGAGUUUGUACGGGAACAUAAUAAAGAGUCAAUGGAUG